ACGACCUGGUCUAAGUAUUUGAGAAACUGGUGGGACUAUGUACAUUUUCAUGCCAAACCCUCUUUCAGCAGCAGUAGAAGAUUAUAUUAUUUUCAUCAGUAGAAUGAGAAUGGUUUGAGAUGAGGCAACAACCAAGGAAACCGAGGCUACAAUUGAAAUUGCUACGAUGGCAUUUCAAGGUCAGCAGAUCCUAGUUAUAUGAAGCACCUUUGGGAAGUGGUAGAACAAGACCUUUGCAUCAUGGAUCUGUGGCGGAGAAAUUUGUAGCAACAACUUGAUGUUCUCCUGUCAACGAGGCCCAAGGUCUCUGAGGAAAGUUUGCUGAUACUGUUCCAUGGAAAUGUAAGGCAGUCCUGAAGGAAAAAAGUGUCUUCAACCUCGUAUUUUUAAAGGUGUGUGGCUGGUCAGUGCAAGUGCAGGUAGUCAAGUAUCGAAAGGCCUAUGAAUUAGAGAAACUUUGUGAUUUCUCUAAGUAAUAUGAAUAUACUUGAAGAGUACAUCAGACUACAUGAAAGAAUUAUCCUUUGAUAGCUGCAACAUUACCCACCAAUCAAAGUUAAUGUGUAAAUAUAUAAAAAAGUUUAUAAUUGACAAGACAGUGUCAGCUUCCAGGCAACAUAAGUGCUAUAAAAUUUUCAAACAGCGGUAAACUCUUUGUUUUAGGAGAAGGAAACAGUUUCCCUCCGUCUCCUCUGCCUUUCUGCCUCAUCUAACACACAACUUGCUUUUAUUCUGUCUGAGUAGGCUCCAUCGAGCAGCACAAAAUAACACUCAAUAAUAUGACGUGAACAAACAGGUGAGGAAGUUUCAUGUUUGAUAUUCAAUUACAGCUAAAGUUAAUGUUUUUCACUCGCUGGUCACAUGACCUGUGGUGUCAUGUGUGUGUGCAAUAAUGUCACGUACACAUAUUUCAAGGCACACGACUGCAGCGCCGAGCCCUUCCUGUCUCAUUGUUUCCGUAAAUAACUUGUCUGUCGAACAUAGCUCGAUAGAUGAAACUGUGACAGCAGUAAAGCUCUCUGUGUCUGAGGCUUGUUUUCGCAUUAGGAGCCAUCGUAGCCUUGCAGCCAUGCAGAUGCCUGGGCAAGUCUGAGCUUGUCUACCCAAAGCCAUCACUCAUGAGGCAGCAUGACAGGGCAAAAAAAGGUGGACAAUUGUGUGGGGGUGACACUAAGACAGCAGCAUCUCUAAUGCAAGUGGAAUCAGAAAAGGAGAAACACUUCCUGGUUGCAGAGCAGGAAAUAAAAGCUCCACCUUUUUCUCUUUG